UUGCUUUUAGGUAGACUUCUACUGUUGC
rnacentral:sRNA from 1 species